AACGACAGCUCCAUACAAGAAUCAAUGAACACAGAAAAGAUAUUAACAAAAGAAUGAGGUCCCCUUCUGUUAUAUCGAACCACAAGUUUAGAGUCAUCUCAUGAUUUCAAGUGGGAUGAUAUUGAGAUCUUAGAUGAAGAGAGAUCUUGUAAAAAAAGAUUAAUUUCAGAAAUGGUCAACAUUAAGAGACAAGUAAAUCCACUGAAUCUGCAAAAGGAUACGGAAUCGUUACCGGAAGAUUAUCUUCCGAUCUUAAAUUUAUUUUCUCCAUAAUAACCUUGGUUACCUUUGGUCUUGUUUGUGUAUGCGAUCUCGAUAACAGCAUAAGCUCAGCGUUUACAGUCUGGUAUUCGCGUCGUGACAGUGAGGGGAUAUAGACAUGUAGAAUAUCUCUUGUGAUUGCGUUUGACCUUUUUAGAUUUUGUACUUUGAUUUUAUUUUUUGAUCUGAGAAAUGAUGUAAAAUGAUUUUAUUGUACAAUGCUGAUGUGCUACUUAGGAGUAGCACUGACGAGAAUUUUGAUUAUAAUGCAAUGCUGCGCUUCUGAUAAUUAUGUAUGCUUGAUCAGUUAUCCAGGUAUGUAUCAUAUUAUAAUGUCCAUUUGUAUCAUAGCUCAACGUUUUAAUGUAGAUUGAUUGAAUAUGUUUAGGAGUUUUUUGUACACUGAGAAUGGUCCAAGAGUGAGACCGAAACGUCUGAUGUACUUUCAUUAAUUUAAUAAACAAGCACUGACAUCCA